rnacentral:rRNA from 1 species
UGAGUAACACGUAUCCAACCUGCCGUCUACUCUUGGACAGCCUUCUGAAAGGAAGAUUAAUACAAGAUGGCAUCAUGAGUUCACAUGUUCACAUGAUUAAAGGUAUUCCGGUAGACGAUGGGGAUGCGUUCCAUUAGAUAGUAGGCGGGGUAACGGCCCACUUAGUCUUCGAUGGAUAGGGGUUCUGAGAGGAAGGUCCCCCACAUUGGAACUGAGACACGGUCCAA